rnacentral:lncRNA from 1 species
CCUGGAUUGAGGGGCCUCUCGGCGGAGGAAAGCCAGGCUGACGAGACGCUGGCUAUGGUCACCUGGACAGAAAUACACCACUAAGGUUCUCUCUGAAACACUAAGUUGGAAGAAUGGGACAAGGGAAAAGGCUGUUCACUUCCUCGGGGACACCUCCAGCACCUGCAGGCUGCCCUGGCUGGGAGCAGCGUGUCCCCUUGACCCAGUCAGCGGGUGACGCAGGGGCUGCCUGUCUCUCCCCCAGCGACUGCUACAGUCCAGCCUCAGCCACCGACUUCUCAGAAAGGACUGGUUCAGGGCGGUGGGGUGGCUAUGCAGGAAGUAUUAGAGUGUGGUUCCCAGAAAGUCUGGCGUCCGUCACCUUUCCAGAGGUCCCUGGGAAGACUUCCUACAGAAGGGACAUCCUUACUCCACACAAGCUUCUGCUCAACUGUUUUAGAGAAAAUGAGCUGAACCAGAGGGCUCGGUCGGACCUCGACACUCUCCCGUUAAGAUUUUGUAAAUACUGGUCCCCUCUGUCACUUUAGUCCCCUCUGGCAUUGCCUCUCCCUCUCCUCUCCCAGUGUCUGGCCCUGCUUCCAGCUCCCUAAGCGACCCCCAGGCUCUGGCCGGCCUGGCCUCUGCUGGGGACCCUCACCUGCUGGCCACUCCUGCUCCUCCACAGGCUGGCGCAGACCCCGGGGCUCCCCCUCCCUGGCCCUCCCACUUGUCCCCAGGCUGCGGCGUCCUCUGUGCUUCCUCUCUACUCCCAAGGUCCCCAGCUUCCUCCCAUGGAAGGUCUUGGCUCUGAGGGGCCAGUCGCUGCCCGUGUCCCCUGAGCCAGUUCCCCUGGUGCCUGCAGGGAUGGGGUCUCUUCACCUCCCUGUUCCCGUGUGGUCCCAGAACUGGGGAGCAGGAGGCGCCAGGGCAGCUCCUCCUCAGAGGUGCUCCCAGAUCCUCACCCAGGGAUGGCGGCCUGGGUAGCGGCUAUGACCCAGGCACCCCUGGGGUCCAGCCAACACCCAGGCCAGCCUCCUGGACGGUCUCUGGGGACCAGGGCAUCUGUCAGGCUGUCCUCGUCCUUCCCCUGCUUGGGUGGGGCUGGGGAAAGUGCCACCCCAAAGUGCAAGCUGGCCUUGACCUUUGACCCUGCCCAGGGGUGAAGCAGGGGAGGGGAGGGGAGACCUGUGGGGAGGGGACCAUGCACCCCCCCCCGCCUACUCAGGGCGAGGCCCAGGCUGGCUGGGCUUGUGAGCAGGAGCAGAGGUCAGCCCCAGGGGCGCCCACGCUAGUCGAGGGGAAAGGUCCCGUGCCCAGCUGAGAUGUGCUGCGUCAGGUCGGGAGGCCUGCUGGGGACCAAGGUCCGGCUGCGAGGCACACCACCCACUGCACUGGCUCUGUGGGCCUCCUGGCCUUCCUCAGGGCACACCUGCUGUCCUUUGCCCAGCACACCCCUGUUUUGAGCGACAGCACCCAGUUUCCUUGGAGGCCCCCCUUCCCAUCAGCCGUGUGCCUGCCCUGAGCGUCUGGCCUCCUCCCUCAGCACGCCCGGCUUAGCCAAUCAGGGCAUGGUCUCAUGGCUUGGGUGGCUCCAGGACGGGAACGGGGUAAAAUGUGGCCUUUGUUAGAAAGGUAGGAAAGAAGCUAUCGCACUCUCUACAGGCAGCGCUACCUGAAUAAGACAGCCUGGGCCUCCGUGGGCCGGGGGCUGCCUGAGAGGGAGGCCACCCCACCAGAAGGCAGCAUCAAGACGGGGACGAGAUUGCUCCUUCUAGUUCUAUAUAGCAGCUCAACCCCCAAGAGCUGAACCAUGGAACCAACCGAGGUGCCCUUCAACAGACGAAUGGAUAAAGACUAUGUGGUACAGAUACAGAAUGGAGUAUUACUCAGCCUUAAAGAAGAAUGAAAUGAUGGCAUUUGCUGGUAAAUGAAUGGAGCUGGAGAAUAUUAUGCUAAGUGAAAUAAGCCAACCCCCCCAAAACAAAAGGCCAAAUGUUUUCUCUGAUAUGCAGAUGCUGAUUCACAAUAGGGGAGAGGAAGAAUAGAGUUACUUUGGAUUAGACAGAGG